CUCCUCUAACUCUCUCUUCUCUCUUCCUCUCCCAGCGAAAUCUGUUCAUCGAAGCUCAACUCCAUCGUUCACCUUGAACAGAUUGCAACGGACUGAAUUUCUUCUUCAACAUAUCUGGGACAUUGAAGGGUUUAGCAAAUAAGUUUGGGUUGGCGGUGGUUGUCACCAACCAAGUGGUGGAUUUUAUUGGGCCACAUGAUAAAGUGAAUGGGGUGAGGUUGGGAAACUUGGAGUCCCCGGACACAUCAGGCAGACGGGUGAGUCCAGCUUUGGGACUGGCUUGGGCACAUUGCAUAAAUUCAAGAGUGUUCUUGGCAAGACAUGAGCAAUCUAUUGAGGUUAACAUUCGUAAUGCUCCUUCAACAAGUAUAUGUAGUCAAACACAUAGGACAUUUCACCUUGUAUUUGCCCCACAUCUGGCCUAUGCAUCGGCCGAAUUUGUAAUCAAAAAAGAAGGUAUAGUCGGAGUAUCACAGUAACUGUGUAAUAUAGGAAUUCUAAGAACUUUAAUGUUUUGGAUCCAUUUGGAAUUACAUUCCAGUCCCUUUAAUUUCGCACU